rnacentral:rRNA from 1 species
AUUGAACGCUGGCGGCAUGCCUUACACAUGCAAGUCGAACGGUAACAGGUCUUCGGAUGCUGACGAGUGGCGAACGGGUGAGUAAUACAUAGGAACGUGCAAGAUCGUGGGGGAUAAGGGAGCGAAAGCUUUGAUAAUACCGCAUAAGAUCUACGGAUGAAUGCAGGGGACGGCAAGGACGUGCGCUAACGGAGCGGCCGAUGGCAGAUUAGGCAGUUGGUGGGAUAAAAGCUUACCAAGCCGCCGAUCUGUAGCUGGUCUGGGAGGACGACCAGCCACACUGGGACUGAGACACGGCCCAGACUCCUACGGGGGGCAGCAGUGGGGAAUUUUGGACAAUGGGCGAAAGCCUGAUCCAGCCAUGCCGCGUGCAGGAUGAAGGCGCUAUGCGUCGUAAACUGCUUUUAUACGGGAGAAAGCCCACGCUCGUGUGCGUGGUUGAUAGUACUGUAAGAAUAAGGAUCGGCUAACUUCGUGCCAGCAGCCGCCGUAAAAC